rnacentral:rRNA from 1 species
CCUCGGUGUGAUAAAACCUGUCUACGCCGGUGACCGUGAAGCGUUUUUGGCUGGCUUCCAACCGUCUCGCUGGAGACAAGCUCCUUCACUUUUUGACAUCUGGCCCUC